CUCUAUUCUUAUUUCCAUCGAAUCAAUUUUGCAUUUCAGAAAAAUCAAAUAGAGAUAACCUAAACACCCAUGAUUGGACUGCUCCCAGCCACCGGCCAGCGUUUCCGGCCGGGAGUCCGACGCGAUCUCCAUCCAUUCCGACGAAGCUCCGACUCUACCCUGCAGCCACCGCAAUCGCUUCCGAUUCCGACGCAGGCAGCCUAAUACGCGGCCAUCUCCCCCGAUUCAACACCAUGAACACCACGCCGUAUCGAAUCGCAAAUAGCUCCGUCGCCGGAACCGCGAAAUCAAAUUCUAAGUCUAUCCUGUAAGUUCUUUUUGCAUCCACUUUACCGAUUUUUAGUUUCAGAGAGUCUCCUACCAGACAAACUGAAUGUAGUUCCACUUUACCUUCAUUGCAUAACAAUCUCUCAUCACAGCACAAAUAAAUACCCUUCAAUUUUUGUCAUUACUACUAUUAUUAUUGAUCUACAGUCAUAUUGAUAUUGAAGUAGAAGGAGAAAGCUUUCUAAAAAAAAACUAUAUACAGUUGUAUUAGUAGUGUACCUUUUCUAUACAUUAUGAAGUUCCAUACACAUUCUUAUCUAUUUUCCACUACAUUUCUCCGUUUGAAAAUAUUUUUAGUUAUUUUUUUGCAAAACAAAGGCUGUUUUGAAACUGCUGCCAAAUGUUUCGAUUACAGCGGUUUUUGUGUUUGGAGAUUCAUACAUGUAUACUGGAAAUAACAACAAUAUGUCAACACCGUCUCGGUGCAAUUACCUUCCUUAUGGAAGAGAUUUUAAAGGAGGAAUUUCAUAUGGAAGAUUUAGCUUCCGUCUGAUUUUAUAGGUAAUAUAAGUUUUGUAUUACUCUCAUUUUCUUUUAAUUACGAAUCGAAAUGACAAUAACUAAAAUCUUAAUAUUGUAUUGAGUGAUUCGGUCACUUAUAACACAUGUCUAUGUCUUAUUAUAAAUUAUUUCUAUAAAAAAAAAGGUCAAAUUAUAAAAUUUGUGAUAAAUCGUAGCCAAAUAGAAUGUCCUAAUUAAAUAGAAUCUCACAAAAUAUUUGUUAUUGUUAAAUUGUAGUUAAAUAGUGCAUCUAAUUAAUUUGUCUUGGUUAAAUUAUAGAUAAAAGUUUAAUACGACUUUGACCAUAGUUUGUGAAAAUAAGCUGAAAAUAGUUUAUUAACAUGUCAUAAGAAGCUAUUUUAAGCAGUGCUACUAAUGCUUAUAUCUUAUGAUAAACCCAAAGUAAACAAAAGAAAUACUAAAUAAUUUAAUCUAAGAUGUGAAUUUUAAUAUAGUUGUUUUUUGUUUUUAAUUUUAAAUUGUACUAUCAGUUUCAGAAUUAGGAAUAAAAGAGUAUUUACCAUCAUAUUUAGAUCCAAAUCUGCAGCCUAGUGAAUUGCUUACAGGUGUGAACUUUGCAUCUGGUGGUGCAGGAUAUGAUCCUAUGACAUCAAAAUUAGAGGCAAACAUUUUUUUUCAUCAGCCCCAAAAAUAUUACUAAAAAAAAUUGGUAUUUUCAUUUAUGAACUAUUCUUCCUUACUCUGUUUAAGCAGGUAGCUAUAUCUAUGUCUGGACAACUAGACUUGUUCAAAGAUUACAUUGUGAGACUUAAAAUACUUGUUGGUGAAGAUAGAACAAAUUUCAUCUUAGUCAAUAGUCCCUCUUUUGUGGUAUUAGGAAGCAAUGGUAUUUCUAACACAUACUAUUUGUCUCAUAUGAGACAAGUGGAAUAUGAUUUUCCUACUUACUCUGAUUUCUUAGUCAACUCAGCUUAUAACUUCUACAAGGUAAUUUUGAACUUUCAUCCAAAAUAUUUCAUCCACUUUUAAUUUUUGCAACACAUGUUAUUAAGGCUGUUAAAAAAAACUAUGAACUGAACUAUACCGUCAAACCAAACUGUACUGAAGUUAAAAUAACUGAACUGUUAUUUUUGGUUAGUGAAUCAAAUCAUAGUGUACAAACAAUUUUAGAACCGAAGUAGAUUGAAUUCGUGGUCGGUUGGGUCAAAGUAACAUUAUGCAACUUUCAGAUGUAUGAGUAUCUAGAAAAUCGGGUAUUAGGAAAGUUGAACUGCGAUGUAACUAACAAUGCAGGAUGGAUAUGAGCUGGCAUAAGAGCUACUACUAGAACGGGAAAGACUGCAACCUUUUGGUCAGAUAGCAUAAAAUAUUUUACUUCUCUACUAUGCUUCAUAAAGUACAAGAUUAGAAUGGUUUCUUCAGAUGGGUGAUGAUCAUCCUUAUAUUAUUCCUCAGAUGGUUCCUACUCUACAUUUCAGGAUUUGAAUAUAUGCAUAAGUUUUUCGGUUCAAAUCUGUCGUUUGUAUUAGUCUGAGGCGUUUGCUUGGUGAUCAUUGCAGUAUGGUGCCCUUCGGUUCAGGGCUGCGUUGGAUCUUAGCUCCGCCGGUGUUCCGUUGUGCUGGUCUUUUUCUUGGUGGUAGCUCCAUAAUUUCAACUGUGUAACAUCAUUUGUUUUCGGUUUUAGGGUGAUUUAGUAUAUUGUAGAUGCUGAAGCAGGCAUAUGGUUUUUAGACUGGUUCUUGUUGUUUUAGCAGUAGUUUUUUGUAUUUCUGUUAUAAACUGGGUUGUUGUUUGGCCUCAUGUGUGGCCUGGUGUGCUUUAUCCUUGAAAUUUGUUGCCACGGUAAUUCUGAAUGAUAUUUAUUUCAUUUACUAGUUUAUUUUCAUUCAA